rnacentral:rRNA from 1 species
GCAAGUCGAGGGGUAACAGGAAAGCUUGCUUUCGCUGACGACCGGCGCACGGGUGCGUAACGCGUAUGCAACCUACCUCAUACUGGAGGAUAGCCCCUGGAAACGGGGAUUAAUACUCCAUAGUAUCACGAAUUCGCAUGUUUUUGUGAUUAAAGUUUUUCGGUAUGAGAUGGGCAUGCGUCCCAUUAGCUUGUUGGUGAGGUAACGGCUUACCAAGACUACGAUGCUUAGCUGGUCUGAGAGGAUGAUC